rnacentral:rRNA from 1 species
AACGAACGCUGGCGGCAGGCUUAACACAUGCAAGUCGAACGCCCCGCAAGGGGAGUGGCAGACGGGUGAGUACCGCGUGGGAACAUACCCUUUUCUACGGAAUAGCUCUGGGAAACUGGAAUUAAUACCGUAUACGCCCUACGGGGGAAAGAUUUAUCGGGGAAGGAUUGGCCCGCGUUGGAUUAGCUAGUUGGUGGGGUAAAGGCCUACCAAGGCGACGAUCCAUAGCUGGUCUGAGAGGAUGAUCAGCCACAUUGGGACUGAGACACGGCCCAAACUCCUACGGGAGGCAGCAGUGGGGAAUAUUGGACAAUGGGCGCAAGCCUGAUCCAGCCAUGCCGCGUGAGUGAUGAAGGCCUUAGGGUUGUAAAGCUCUUUCAACGAUGAAGAUAAUGACGGUAGUCGGAGAAGAAGCCCCGGCUAACUUCGUG